UACGUAGGGGGCAAGCGUUGUCCGGAAUUAUUGGGCGUAAAGAGCGCGUAGGCGGUCCGAUAAGUCGGCUGUGAAAGUCAGGGGCUCAACCCUUGGAAGCCGGCCGAUACUGUCGGACUAGAGUCCGGAAGAGGCGAGUGGAAUUCCCGGUGUAGCGGUGAAAUGCGCAGAUAUCGGGAGGAACACCGGUGGCGAAGGCGGUUCUCUGGGCCUGUACUGACGCUGAGGAGCGAAAGCGUGGGGAGCGAACAGG
rnacentral:rRNA from 1 species